rnacentral:rRNA from 1 species
GUAGGUGGCAAGCGUUGUCCGGAAUUAUUGGGCGUAAAGCGCGCGCAGGCGGGUUCUUUAAGUCUGAUGCGAAAGCCCACGGGCUCAACCGUGGAGGGUCAUUGGAAACUGGAGAACUUGAGUACAGAAGAGGAAAGCGGAAUUCCACGUGUAGCGGUGAAAUGCGUAGAGAUGUGGAGGAACACCAGUGGCGAAGGCGGCUUUCUGGUCUGUAACUGACGCUGAGGCGCGAAAGCGUGGGGAGCAAACAGGAUUAGAUACCCUGGUAGUCCACGCCGUAAACGAUGAGUGCUAAGUGUUAGGGGGUUUCCGCCCCUUAGUGCUGCAGCUAACGCAUUAAGCACUCCGCCUGGGGAGUACGGCCGCAAGGCUG